rnacentral:rRNA from 1 species
UGCCAGCCGCCGCGGUAAUACGGAGGGGGCUAGCGUUGUUCGGAAUCACUGGGCGUAAAGCGCGCGUAGGCGGGUCAGUCAGUCAGGGGUGAAAUCCCGGGGCUUAACCUCGGAACUGCCUUUGAUACUGCUGACCUAGAGGUCGAGAGAGGUGAGUGGAAUUCCUAGUGUAGAGGUGAAAUUCGUAGAUAUUAGGAAGAACACCAGUGGCGAAGGCGGCUCACUGGCUCGAUUCUGACGCUGAGGUGCGAAAGCGUGGGGAGCAAACAGGAUUAGAUA